rnacentral:rRNA from 1 species
GGACUACUGGGGUUUCUAAUCCCGUUUGCUCCCCUAGCUUUCGCGCCUCAGCGUCAGUAUUGGGCCAGAUGAGCGCCUUCGCCACCGGUGUUCCUCCUGAUAUCUACGCAUUUCACCGCUACACCAGGAAUUCCCUCAUCCUCUCCCAUACUCAAGCCAGGCAGUUUGGGAUGCAGUUCCCCGGGUGAGCCGGGGUAUUUCACAUCCCACUUACCAGGCCGCCUACACGCCCUUUACGCCCAGUGAUUCCGAACAACGCUUGCUCCCCCCGUGUUACCGCGGCGGCUGGCAC